UUUCCUUUCUUUCUGUCUUACAGGAUUGUUUGCAGAUAAUGCUGUUCUUCUUUUUCAGAAGUUUUUUGUGAGCCAACCCUCACAAACCUUCCUAAAAACUAAAAGAGCUAUUACUGAGUCUCAGCGAAUCUUGCCAUGAUCAGCUCUUCCCAGAAGAGAAGGAAGACCAAGGAAAUUAUUUGCUCAGGAUGAGGAAUGAAGACGGCCAUCUUGAGCCCAAACAAAGACAGAAGUCCACCGAUGAUCUCAUCAGCCAAAUGAGGGGUUUUGACCAAGUGAUGCUCUUGAAAGGAGUGAAAGAAGAGGAUGUGGUAAAUUGUCUUCAGAGAAAAAGCUUCUCAAAAGGUCUUAAAACAGCUUGAAU